AACGAACGCUGGCGGCAUGCCUAACACAUGCAAGUCGAACGAGACCUUCGUGUCUAGUGGCGCUCGGGUGCGUAACGCGGGGGAACCUGCACUUAGGUUCCGAAUAAUUCCCCGUAAGGGGUGCUAAUACAGGAUAAUGUCUUCGGACCAAAGAUUUAUCGCCAUUGACUGGGCGCGGGUUGGAUUAGCUGGUUGGUAGUGUAAAAGCCUACCAAGGCGACGAUCCUUAGCUGGUUUGAGAGCAUGCUCAGCCACACUGGGACUGAGACACGGCCCAGACUCCUACGGGAGGCUGCAGUAGGGAAUAUUAGACGCUGGGCGCAAGCCUGACCAAGCCAUGCCCGGUGUGUGAUGAAGGCCUUAGGGUUGUACAGCUCUUUUACCCGGGAUGAUAAUGACAGUACCGGGAGAAUAAGCUCCGGCUAACUCCGUG
rnacentral:rRNA from 1 species